rnacentral:sRNA from 1 species
AGAACACAGAGCAGCCUGGCAGUGUCCAAGCAACAAGCCUCGGCCCCUCCUUCCUGCACCCUGGGGCUCCUGAAACUCACCUGGGAAGGAGGGCUUUCUGAGAUUUGAGGGAAACAAGCUCUCAGGACUUCCGGUCGCCAUGAUGGCUGUGGGCGGUAAACGGGGUUAGUGCAAGCAUCUGGGCCAUCUUCAAUGGUAAAAAAGAUACAGUAAAGACAUAAAUACCACGUUUGACAAAUGGAAAAAAAGGAGUGUCCAGAAAAGAGUAGCAGCAGUGAGAAAGAGCUGCCGAGACGGGACAGUGGAUCCAGUAGGAAUGUAGAUGCAUCCGAACUCAUAAUACUACAAGGACCACGGAAACUGUUGGUUGACAAUAGCUUACAGGAACUGCAAUACCCAAAAACUGGAAUUUUUAUUCAGGCUGAGGCCUGUGUGACAGAUGAUACGGUAUACAGGGAGCUACCCCGUGUUUCUGAGAUCCGUUAUGACAUCUCACAUUUUUUCCAAGAAGAUGAUGAGACAGAGGCAGAGCCAUUCUUGUUCCAUGCUGUUCCUGAGAGUCAACUAUGUGGGUGGGACAUUCCCAGGUAAGAAAAGCUAUUCUGUUGGAAAACUAUUGGGCGCUGUGUCUCAAUAUCACAGAGGAACAUGAGAAUUAGAGGAAUUUGGGUGUUUUUCAUCGAACUCAGGGGAGAAUGAAUGAGCUUAUGCAAUAUUAGCAAUGAAUCCAGAAAUUUUUGAAACAAACCUUAAGCAAUGACGUUUUUUUCCUUGGAGGUGUCUAGAGAACCUAUACACAAAAAGGCAAUGAGCAAUGCAAUCGAAGACCAGUGGGUUAUUGGUUAAGCUGUUACUCAAUGCAUAAAACCAACCUAAUUCUCUAGGAAACUGGCUGAUGAUGAGGCUGAAGGCCGCAGUGGGGUCCUGAGGUUUAACACCAGGGAGGGGAGAAUGCAUCUAUUUGUAGGGUAUGCCAAUUUCCAAGGGUUGAAUAUCCCCAUCAUGGCAGAUUUCAAACUACCAACGUGAAGCCCCUGAUGAGGGAGUUGAAAGAACACAUGCAGAAGUCUGUCAUCCUACUUUCACCACACAGGUACAAGAGACAUAAAUAACCUCAAGGGCAUAGACUGCUGAAAAGUGUAGAAAAAUGACUGGAAAUUGGUAUGUUUUAAUAUGUAUUACUUUUGUUUUUAAUAUGAUUUAUUUAAAUGUUAGCUUGUAUCAUUUAGACUAAUGGUUGUGUUGAACAACUUGGUUGCAAAAGCCCUGAAACUGGAACCGUCGGCUCUCAUGAUCUGGGAUGCGCUGUCUGCAGUUCAGCGCUGGGUUCCUCCCACUUUCUAAACCCCUCCUCAGCAGGCAGACUCCAGCAUGCACAUGCUCCAGGAGACAGAAUAUAAAAUGGCAUGUUUACUGUUGCUGCUUUGCCUGUAGCUACCCGAAUCCAUAGCAAAAUGUGUAGCCGCAGACAGCAACCAGUCUUAGGAUGUCAGCCCAGGGGUCUCUCCAUGCUUGGCUUGCCCACAGAAUCCUUCUGAGAAAAGCGCUGUAAAGCCUUUCUCUUUAUCCCGCUUCUCUAGGUACCUGUUCUUUUUAAACCUAAUCCACGUGUCAGUUUCUCUGCUGGUCUCUUUCACGUUGAAAUAAACAGACAUCUCAAGGAAUGGAUCAAAGGCAGAGAAUUUGAUGGAGUUGGUUGCCUUCCUCCAGAAGGUAUCACCUGUGUUAGGGCAGAUUUCUCUCCAGAGGCAUGACGAACCAUUGGCUCACGCUGUAUGUCAUAGAACCCAUAUUGGCUAAUAUUGGAAUCACCUGUGAGGCUUUGAAAGCACCGAUGCUUCGGUGCCAUCUCCAGACUUCUGAUUCAAUUGAUGUGGGCUGUGACCUGGUAUUGGGUGGUUUUUAAAGCUUCCCAGGUGUGGUCAAGUUUGGAAUUACCUUGGAAUAUAGAUGCAUGCAUUUUACGCAUUGGUGAAUUACUGCUUCAGUCUUUGAUUCCAACAUUGUAUGAUACCAAUAGGAGCAUCAAUUUAAGCCAGAGAAUCUGGCUGUGUCCACAUUGAACGUGGUCAUAAUAAAAAGAGAAGAGGGAGAGAUGUCAAGACACAUUUGGCUCAAGGGAGCAUGUUAUCUCUAUUAUUUAUAAAUGUGGAUAAAAAUAUCUUCAUUCAAAAUGUCUUGUAUUUCUUGAUAGUCUAGAUCCGCCCAGUCUAAGAGAACUUUCUGUGAUGACGGGAGUGUUCCAUUCUCUGCUACACAGUGUUAUAGCCGUGAGUGACAUGUAGGUGUUGAGCACUUGAAAUAUGGAUAGUGCAACUGAGAAACUCAAGUUUACCUAAGUUUAAUUCAUACAAAUUUAAAUAGCACAUCCGGGUAGCAGCUACUCUACGGAACAGUGCAGCUCUAGUUUUCAAUAACAUCGUCUUCAUCUUCAUCAACUGAUUCGUGAUAUUUUUCAUCUUUUUGUAACAUGGGGAUCCCAACCUCCAGCGUAUCAGAAGAGCAGGAAUCUUCAGAGGGACAAGAUUCAGGAGACAUUUGCUCAGAAGAGAAUCAAAUAGUUUCCUCUUAUGCUUCUAAAGUCUGUUUUGAGAUUGAACAAGAUUAUAAAAAUCGUCAGUUUCUGGGGCCUGAAGGAAAUGUGGAUGUUGAGUUGAUUGAUAAGAGCACAAACACAUACAGCGUUCGGUUCCCCACUGCUGGCUGGUAUCUGUGGCCAGCCACAGGCCUCGGCUUCCUGGUAAGGGAUGCGGUCACGUUGACGAUUGCAUUUGGUUCCUGGAGUCAGCACCUGGCCCUGGACCUGCAGCACCAUGAACAGUGGCUGGUGGGCGGCCCCUUGUUUGAUGUCACUGCAGUGCCAGAGGAGGCUGUCUCUGAAAUCCACCUCCCCCACUUCAUCUCCCUCCAAGGUAAUGUGGGGUGAGCGGAGGCUGUGGGGGCCGCUGGGGCGCGUGCUGUCUCACUGCUGUUGUGGUUCUCCUGCAGCAGGUGAGGUGGAUGUCUCCUGGUUCCUCAUUGCCCAUUUUAAGGAUGAAGGGAUGGUCCUGGAGCAUCCAGCCCGGGUGGAGCCUUUCUAUGCUGUCCUGGAAAAGCCCAGCUUCUCUCUGAUGGGCAUCCUGCUGCGGAUCGCCAGCGGGACCUGCCUCUCCAUCCCCAUCACUUCCAACACGUUGAUCUAUUAUCACCCCCACCCCGAAGAUAUUAAGUUCCACUUGUACCUUGUCCCCAGCGACGCCUUGCUAACGAAGGCGAUAGAUGAUGAGGAAGAUCGCUUCCAUGGUGUGCGCCUGCAGACUUCGCCCCCAAUGGAACCCCUGAACUUUGGUUCCAGUUAUAUUGUGUCUAAUUCUGCUAACCUGAAAGUAAUGCCCAAGGAGUUGAAAUUGUCCUACAGGAGCCCUGGAGAAAUUCAGCACUUCUCAAAAUUCUAUGCUGGGCAGAUGAAGGAACCCAUUCAACUUGAAAUUACUGAAAAAAGACAUGGGACUUUGGUGUGGGAUACUGAGGUGAAGCCAGUGGAUCUCCAGCUUGCAGCUGCAUCAGCCCCUCCUCCUUUCUCAGGUGCAGCCUUUGUGAAGGAGAACCACCGGCAACUCCAAGUCAGGAUGGGGGACCUGAAAGGGGUGCUCGAUGAUCUCCAAGACAAUGAGGUUCUCACUGAGAAUGAGAAGGAGCUGGUGGAACAGGAAAAGACACGGCAGAGCAAGAAUGAGGCCUUGCUGAGCAUGGUGGAGAAGAAAGGGGACCUGGCUCUGGACGUGCUCUUCAGAAGCAUUAGUGAAAGGGACCCUUACCUCGUGUCCUAUCUUAGACAGCAGAAUUUGUAAAAUGAGUCAGUUAGAUAGUCUGGAAGAGAGAAUCCAGCCUUCUCAUUGGAAAUGGAUAAACAGAAAUGUGAUCAUUGAUUUCAGUGUUCAAGACAGAAGAAGACUGGGUAAGAUUUAUCACACAGGCUUUCAGGACAGACUUGUAACCUGGCAUGUACCUAUUGACUGUAUCCUCAUGCAUUUACCUCAAGAAUGUCUGAAGAAGGUAGUAAUAUUCCUUUUAAAUUUUUUCCAACCAUGGCUUGAUAUAUCACUAUUUUAUCCAUUGACAUGUUUCUUGAAGACCCAGGAUAAAGGACAUCCAGAUAGGUGUGUUUAUGAAUGAUAGGGCCUGGAAAGGCAACUUUUCCUGAUUAAUGUGAAAAAUAAUUCCUAGGGACACUCCAUUUGAAGUAUCACCUUCUCAUAACUAAAAGCAGAAAAGCUAACAAAAGCUUCUUAGCUGAGGACACUCAAGGCAUACAUGAUGAUAGUCUUUUUUUUUUUUUUAUAUGUUAGGACUUUAACACUUUAUCUAUGGCUACUAUUAUUAGAAUAAUGUAAAUGUAUUUGCUGAAAGAGAGCACAAAAAUGGGAGAAAAUGCAAACAUGAGCAGAAAAUAUUUUCCCACUGGUGUGUAGCCUGGUACAAGGAGUUGUUGGGUUAAAUGUUCAUGGUCAACUCCAAGGAAUACUGAGAUGAAAUGUGGUAAAUCAACUCCACAGAACCACCAAAAAGAAAAUGAGGGUAAUUCAGCUUAUUCUGAGACAGACAUUCCUGGCAAUGUACCAUAUAAAAAAUAAGCCAACUCUGACAUUUGGAUUCUACCAUAGACUCUGUCAUUUUGUAGCCAUUUCAGCUGCCUGAAAUGGCUACAAAAACAUGAUUAAUGUUUUCAUGGCACACAUAUUUCCAUCCUUUUAUGUUUAAUCUGUUUAAAACAAGUUCCUAGUAGACA